rnacentral:lncRNA from 1 species
GAAACUCUUUACAAGUCAAAAGUGAAAAAUAAUGUUAUUAUCCUAUUUAAAUGGUUGAAAGAGUCUUGUUUGAAGUUGUGUGGGGUUGAAUCAAUAUAACUGUGAUAUUUCAAAAAUUGGCAAAAAAGAAGAAGAAAAAAAAUAGCAAGAAUAGAAAAAGAAAAAAAAAUGAAGAAAAAAUGGGGAAAAAAGGAUGAUAAUUCAUAUUACUGUAACGUUCCUUCUGAAAAAGAAAAAAAGAAAAGAAAAUAAAGAAGAUAGAAAAAGAGAAAAUGAUUGCAAAGUUGUUUUUGAAAAGUGAAUGAAAUUUUAGUUCAACUCCCGCAAUUUCCUUCAAUUGUCUUUUAUCCCUUUAAAUAUUAGCCUAAUAUCCCUUAUGAUUUAUCCUACCCUUACCUUGACUCUG